rnacentral:lncRNA from 1 species
CAAGAACCUAAUCAUCUUAUCAUACACGUCUUCCUUUGAUCUUACACUCAGGAGGAAGUCUAUGUGACCGUAUUCCUCAAGAAAAAGCACCUCUGGCUGUCUUUUUAGUUCCUUCAGCGUGCGCUGCACAUCAGUAACGUCAGCUAAUGAAUCGUUACCCCCAUAAGCCAUCCACAAUGGUAAAGAAUUCGGAAUGCUGCUAACAUCAAAUGCUGGAGGCCAAAACCGUCCAUAGCGUAUCAGGUUCUUAAAGAUUCCAUAAUCAUACUUUCUGAAAGUACCUUCACGGAUCACUGGAAAAAAAACACAAUUCAAUGGGUAGGAACUAGGAGAGUAAGAGCGAAUGUAUGAGAAAAAAUGAGGAAAAAAGCUACACAGACUUAGCCUGAUAUAGCAAGUUUGAAUAACUUCAGCAAACCAAAAGGCCAAAGACAAUGAUAUCCUGCUAGUGCAUACUUUGAAAAAGAUGAUUCAGAUUCUUUGAGGAUGUAGGUUGUGGUUCAUAUUCGAGAUAGAAAUUGAUCCGGGAGUUGUUGAAGCAACAGUUCUUUCCUGAAAGGUUAAUCCACCAUUUAAUAAGAUACAGAUGGCAAUAUAAUAGUUUAACCAUUCUAAACACUCGAAUAAUUACUUCCCAACUUGCUCUACAGUGCUAGAUUGCUAGCAGAAAAGCAAAGCAGAAAAGUUUGUCAUGAAAGGAAUUUUUUUUUUAAAGGCCAAAUAACAGAACAUGAAUAAGGACCUGUAACCGGAGUAAGCAACUCAUUGCAAUUCACAUAUUCACUGCAUAAUAUGUCCAUCAUAUGGGUGCUGCAGUCACUGAAUAGAUAACAGAACAGAAAGGAUUAUAUAAACCGAAGAUAUGUGGAAACCUGACCGAAAGAAAGAGCCAAAAUUAAUAAGACCUUUUGAAAUUAAGUUCAUGAAUGCCCAUCACACAUAACACCUGCUUAGAGAAAAAUGACAACUUAAGCACACUGACAAAUAAGCCCUGAUGGGAAUGCUCAAAAAGAAACCACACAAACCUCAUCAAUAUGCAUUUUCACUAAUCUUAGGACAAAAGACGAACUUAUAUGAUCCAAAUAUGAGAUAGGAGAAAGAAGCGCAGCAGCUUCAACCAUUGAUACUAUAUGUGGUUGAGUAAAAGCAGCCAGAGACAUUAUUGUUCCCUGCAAAAUAAAGCAAAGGACAUCGAAUAUCAGAAAAACAAAAACCAACAACCAAAUGAAGAUAUAACAUAUAGUUCUCAAGAGAUUCAAGACCUGUGAAUGACCAACAAUAAAUAUUUUUGAGUUGGUGAUGUUAUAAAUAUAACGAGCCAUUCCUUCCAGAUCAUACAGAGCCAAUUCCUGCCAACUCCAAUCCCAAAAAUCCUAAAAACCAAGAGAAGAAACCAUUAAAGCAAGAGGGUUCAUAAAGCACAUCUAGUUUAUGCAAAAAGAAUAUUUUUGCUGCAUCCCAAAUCAGGACAAGACCAUGCAGAAGUAACUUGUGAAAUAAAUUCUACACAUAGAGGGGGGAUGGUGGUCCACCACUCCUGCUCUUCCGAGCAUUAACCAUUUGAUGGCUACGACUUCAAAGCAAUUCAUAUUUAUACCUUGCUUUUACCUGAGUAAUCAAAUCAUGACAAGUCAAUAUAUGAAUGUAAUUUGAAAACCUGUACUACAUUACAAUUUCCAACAGUUACAGAACUUAAAGAUUAUAACCAGAUGUCAAAGACAAGCUAUAAAUACCUUGUCUUUUUCUGUCAGAUGGACAUGUCGACGACUCCAAUGUGUCCCACGCACAUUUCCAGCCCAAACAUCAAAGCCAUGAUCAGCCAGGAUAAACCCCAAUGAUUGAUUUGGAGAGUUCAAGAACCAGGCAUCACCUGCCUGUUAUAUUUUUCAGUUGCUCAAUUGUUAAUAUACGAGACUGCUACCCAAUCCUUUCUUUAUAUUACAUUCACAAAAUGGAAGGGGGGGAGGCGGGGAGGACAAUUACAAUUUCUGUGAGUCUAGAUAAGGCUAAUCAUGCUUGUUAAAGAUCUUUGUAAUAAUAAAGUAGCAUUUCCUAUAGAUGCGAAAGCCAUUUUAGCUUAUAAUUUUAACCAAAACCAAGAUGCACGGACGAAAUAAUUUACAGCUUACACACUGAACUUUGACAUAGUAUUACUCUUACAGCUUGAAUAUGCACACAUUUAUGGAGGCACCAAAGCACUAAGAAUGCUCAAUUCCGAUAAGCAACAAAUCUAACUAAAGAAGAUAGUGAACUGAAAAAUAAACUUUUGUACCAUAAAACAGUUUUGGCUGCACAAAGUAGCAACCGUAAUGAUGAUUGGUAAAUAUCUUCCAUAGAAUUGGAAUUUGAAAGAACGAAUAGAGCUAAAUUCAAAUGUGGCCUCUCCACUAUGAUUUUUUUUUUUUUUCUAAAAAAAAUAAAAUAAAAUAGAAAUCAUGUAAACAAAUUAUUUUAGGAGAGAUUACCAUCAUUAGCCCGUGAAGGAGAAGAACUGGAGGACCGUAUUGCCCUCUGAGAUAUCUGGAGUUAGAUGCCACCCGCUGAAGUCCAAGCAAGUAACCAUCAUUUGUUUGUGCCUGGAUCAACAAUUCCACAUUCUUAAACUAAAUCACCUGCACGCUAUAUUUCAGAAAAAUCGUCUACAGCUUAGUCACGCCUUCAAUACGUAGGUAGACAAAAAAGUAAGAUCAAUGAUUAAUGAAAUUUAUUCAUGUGUACCACUGUACACAAAUACUAUAUUCAACAAAGAACGAUACGUAGAUAGAGAUAGAGAUUCUACGGUGUGCUCGGAGCAAGGAUAGCCAUAAGGUUGGAUGAGGUGAGCACAGAGACCAUCUGCCGGAGAAUUGGGAAGGCGAAUAUAUGAAACUCUGGCGGAUUCUCCGGCUGAACUGAGGAGUAAUACACUGAGCAACAAAACCGUCACCAGACGCUCCAUUUUCAGGCCACUGGAGUGCGGAAAACACAGCGGAACGACGGACCAACGGGCUGGGACCUCCCGGGAGAGGAGAGUGUGGAGUCUCACAAUGCUCCAGAAGAAAGAUGCGUUCGCAGGAAACCGAACGAGACAGUCAAGGACCUGAGAAGCUCCGCCCCUGUGUCGGUCAAGGACCUGCAUUUCUAAAAAAAUUCAACCCUUUCUGAAAAAUUUCUUGUUUGGGUCUCCUCGAAUCCUCCGUUCCCUUUACUGUACAGUAUACAGUAAGAAUAGACAUAGAAUCGCAUCUAAGUAUCUAACGUGAAAAAAAAAAAAAAAAACUUCUAAUACAAGAGUAAUAGCUAGUUUGGGAGGAUGGAAAUGAAAAGAAAAGAAGAGAAAUGAUAAGUUAGAAAAGAAAAGAAAGGAUCAAAGUUUCUAUCUAAAUUGUUUGGAAGUUUUAAAAAAGAAAAGAAAGUGAGUAGUUUUCUUUUGUUUGGGAGUUGAAUGUAAAAGAAAAGAAAAGAUACUUAAACAAAUUAUUUUACAAAUAUGCCCUUUCUAUAAACAAAUGUGAGAAGGAUUCAUCGGGUAUUAAAAUGUUUUGUAUCAGGAUUUUAAGGAUAAUUUGGUCAUAUUGAAAAAUUUACUUAAACUUCUGUCCGUUCCUUCCCUUUCCGCCCAACAUUGGGCGGAAAGUUUUCCAAAAGAUGAAGUGGAGUGGAAUCUUUCCUAUUCCUUUCUUUUCCUUCUCAUUUUAACUCCCAAACAAUGAAAAAACUUUUUUAUCCCUUCAAAACCUUUCUUUUCUUUUCAUUUCCAUCCUCCCAAACUAGCUAUAAGGGUAGAUAUAUAAUAGAAUCUAACGUGUUAAAAAAAAAAAAAGAAGAAAGAUAGAGUAUAAAGAGAGAGAUUCUCUUCUGUCCACUUGGUACCGACACAAACGCUCUCUUACAGCGCGUCCGGUAUACCUUUCUUUGCUCAAGAGCCAAGCAUAACGUCAGUUGAUGAAGCGGAUCUAGGAGUGGGCUAUAAAAGCUCACCUAUUUGGGCUAUAACAGUACAACAAUCAUGGGCUUGUCACUGGUCGAUAUUUAAAAAUCAGGCUAGUCCGCUGAGCUAAUUGUUUAAGAACUUUUAACAUUUCCGAUACUAAACUUUCGUAUUGUGGGCUCCAACAGAGAACGGGCUUGUCGUUGCAAGUGCCGUGGAAUCCAUUGCACUAAUUAGAGUGAAUAGGUAUCCCAAAUUCCGCUCAACCGGUCAAGAGUGACUUGCACGGUAAUCAUGAGAUUUUCGAUCUGUUUGGAGUUGCGACAGCUUAUUUAAAAAUACUACUCCUGUAAAGUUUUGAAUAAAAAUAUUUAUUAACUGCUAAGUGCUUUUAAAUUUAUUAUUUGGAGAGACACAGUUUAAUCAGUACUUAUUGUAUUAAAUAAUGUGUAAUUUAAAUUUUAAAAAAAAUAUCUAUCUCUUUAUUUGGUAUAACAUAUAAUUAAAUUUGAUGUUUUAUUUUUUAAAUCAUAAAAACUACUCUAAAAGCACUAAAUUUGAGCUUUUGUUAAAGUGCUUUUAACACCAAAAAUUCUACUCCUAAUUUUAUGGGAUGAUAUUCACCAAACAUUUUAAAAGUACUUUUUAACACAUAAAAGUGCUUUUUUCUUAUCAAAAGCACCGGAACCCAAACGGGGCCUUAGUAACUACCAAAUUUUCUGAAUGACUUCAAGAACCUAAUCAUGUCAUCAUACAAGUCUUCCUUUGAUCUUACACUCAGGAGGAAGUCUAUGUGACCGUAUUCCUCAAGAAAAAGCACCUCUGGCUGUCUUUUUAGUUCCUUCAGCGUGCGCUGCACAUCAGUAACGUCAGCUAAUGAAUCGUUACCCCCAUAAGCCAUCCACAAUGGUAAAGAAUUCGGAAUGCUGCUAACAUCAAAUGCUGGAGGCCAAAACCGUCCAUAGCGUAUCAGGUUCUUAAAGAUUCCAUAAUCAUACUUUCUGAAAGUACCUUCACGGAUCACUGGAAAAAAAACACAAUUCAAUGGGUAGGAACUAGGAGAGUAAGAGCGAAUGUAUGAGAAAAAAUGAGGAAAAAAGCUACACAGACUUAGCCUGAUAUAGCAAGU